rnacentral:rRNA from 1 species
GGGCUUGACAUCCCACGAACCUGAAAGGGAAGGGAGCCCGCAAGGGAAGCCGGCACAGGUGGUGCAUGGCUGUCGUCAGCUCGUGUCGUGAGAUGUUGGGUUAAGUCCCGCAACGAGCGCAACCCUCACCCCUUGUUGCCACCGGGUAAUGCCGAGCACUCGAGGGGAACUGCCAGCGUCAAGCUGGAGGAAGGCGGGGAUGACGUCAAGUCAUCAUGCCCCUUACGCCCUGGGCUACACACGUGCUACAAUGGCCAGUACAAAGGGAUGCGAGACCGUAAGGUGGAGCUAAUCCCAAAAAGCUGGUCUAAGUUCAGAUUGCAGUCUGCAACUCGACUGUAUGAAGGAGGAAUCGCUAGUAAUCGCGCAUCAGCACGGCGCGGUGAAUACGUUCCCGGGCCUUGUACACACCGCCCGUCACACCACGAAAGCUGGCUGUACUCGAAGUCGCUGAGA